UGGUGGGUAGUUUGACUGGGGCGGUCUCCUCCUAAAGAGUAACGGAGGAGCACGAAGGUUGGCUAAUCCUGGUCGGACAUCAGGAGGUUAGUGCAAUGGCAUAAGCCAGCUUGACUGCGAGCGUGACGGCGCGAGCAGGUGCGAAAGCAGGUCAUAGUGAUCCGGUGGUUCUGAAUGGAAGGGCCAUCGCUCAACGGAUAAAAGGUACUCCGGGGAUAACAGGCUGAUACCGCCCAAGAGUUCAUAUCGACGGCGGUGUUUGGCACCUCGAUGUCGGCUCAUCACAUCCUGGGGCUGAAGUAGGUCCCAAGGGUAUGGCUGUUCGCCAUUUAAAGUGGUACGCGAGCUGGGUUUAGAACGUCGUGAGACAGUUCGGUCCCUAUCUGCCGUGGGCGCUGGAGAACUGAGGGGGGCUGCUCCUAGUACGAGAGGACCGGAGUGGA
rnacentral:rRNA from 1 species